CCCUUAGAUGUCCGGGGCUGCACGCGCGCUACACUGAAGGAAUCAGCGUGCUAAAACCAUUGUCGAAAGGCAUUGGUAAACCCAUUAAAAUCCUACGUGAUUGGGAUCGGGGAUUGCAAUUAUUUCCCUUGAACGAGGAAUUCCCAGUAAGUGUGGGUCAUAAGCUCGCGUUGAUUACGUCCCUGCCCUUUGUACACACCGCCCGUCGCUGCCCGGGACUGAGCCGUUUCGAGAAAAGCGGGGACUGCUGCUGUCGGGGCUUUCGGGCCUUGGCUUCGGUGGAAACCGCUUUAAUCGCAGUGGCUUGAACCGGGCAAAAGUCGUAACA
rnacentral:rRNA from 1 species